rnacentral:rRNA from 1 species
AGUGGCGAACGGGUGAGUAAUAUAUCGGAACGUACCCUGGAGUGGGGGAUAACGUAGCGAAAGUUACGCUAAUACCGCAUACGAUCUAAGGAUGAAAGUGGGGGAUCGCAAGACCUCAUGCUCCUGGAGCGGCCGAUAUCUGAUUAGCUAGUUGGUAGGGUAAAAGCCUACCAAGGCUUCGAUCAGUAGCUGGUCUGAGAGGACGACCAGCCACACUGGAACUGAGACACGGUCCAGACUCCUACGGGAGGCAGCAGUGGGGAAUUUUGGACAAUGGGCGCAAGCCUGAUCCAGCAAUGCCGCGUGAGUGAAGAAGGCCUUCGGGUUGUAAAGCUCUUUUGUCAGGGAAGAAACGGUGAAGGCUAAUAUCUUUUGCUAAUGACGGUACCUGAAGAAUAAGCACCGGCUAACUACGUGCCAGCAGCCGCGGUAAUACGUAGGGUGCAAGCGUUAAUCGGAAUUACUGGGCGUAAAGCGUGCGCAGGCGGUUUUGUAAGUUUGUCGUGAAAGCCCCGGGCUCAACCUGGGAAUUGCGAUGAAGACUGCAAGGCUUGAAUCUGGCAGAGGGGGGUAGAAUUCCACGUGUAGCAGUGAAAUGCGUAGAGAUGUGGAGGAACACCGAUGGCGAAGGCAGCCCCCUGGGUCAAGAUUGACGCUCAUGCACGAAAGCGUGGGGAGCAAACAGGAUUAGAUACCCUGGUAGUCCACGCCCUAAACGAUGUCUACUAGUUGUCGGGUUUUAAUUAACUUGGUAACGCAGCUAACGCGUGAAGUAGACCGCCUGGGGAGUACGGUCGCAAGAUUAAAACUCANAGGAAUUGACGGGGACCCGCACAAGCGGUGGAUGAUGUGGAUUAAUUCGAUGCAACGCGAAAAACCUUACCUACCCUUGACAUG